GAUGAACGCUAGCUACAGGCUUAACACAUGCAAGUCGAGGGGUAACGAGAGGAAAGCUUGCUUUCCUUGUCGACGACCGGCGCACGGGUGAGUAACGCGUAUCCAACCUGCCCCCAACUAGGGAAUAACCUUGCGAAAGUAAGACUAAUACCCUAUAAUUUCCUCAGAUGUCAUCUUACGAGGAAUAAAGAUUUAUCGGUUGUGGAUGGGUAUGCGUCUGAUUAGCGUGUUGGCGGGGUAACGGCACACCAAGGCAACGAUCAGUAGGGGUUUUGAGAGGAAGGUCCCCCACAUUGGAACUGAGACACGGUCCAAACUCCUACGGGAGGCAGCAGUGAGGAAUAUUGGUCAAUGGGCGGAAGCCUGAACCAGCCAAGUAGCGUGCAGGAUGACGGCCCUAUGGGUUGUAAACUGCUUUUAUACAGGAAUAAAGUUAGCCACGUGUGGUUAUUUGUAGGUACUGUAUGAAUAAGGACCGGCUAAUUCCGUGCCAGCCGCCGCGGUAA
rnacentral:rRNA from 1 species